CUAAAAUGUUAUCUACUUGUAACACAUGUGCGACACCCUCAGCUUUUACGCACACACAUGGAUCCACACAUACACAGAAACACACUGAACCCAGCCAUAGAAACCAUGUCAAAGAUAAAUGCGGAGCACUGUAAUGAAGAAUCUACAGACUCUAAAUUUGUUGCCAAUUUUGGCUCUGGCAAGUUUGUUCGUCAAGAUAAGCGAAUCAAUCUCUCUUCGCCCAGUGCUGACUGGCCCUGACAUGGCCUACCUCGGCUCAAGGGUGGCUUUCCGGUGUAUUGCGCCGGACUCCUCUCCGCCAAACGCCUACGAGCUGAUGAGGGAUGGUGGUGUCCGGGUUGCCACAGUCACUGUCCUUCAAGGGGACCAACCUGCAUUAUUCUUCCUUAAGAUCGCUGCAACAUCAGAGGGGUCAUACCACUGCAAGGCGACUGCAGGAAGAACCACAGGAGUCAGCAACAGCAUCAAGCUGAGUGUAAUCAUUCCACCAGCAAUAACCAGAGUGACUUCUGAACCCUCUCCCCCAGUCGCAUACGAGGGGUCACACAUUGUACUGAGCUGCAACGUUACAAAGGGCUCCCACCUUUCCUACACCUGGUUUUUCAAUAGGAAGGAAGUCACAUCUUCAACAUCUCCCUUCUUCCACAUCACUGAGAACAAGCUAGUGAUUGAGGAGUUGACUCCAGAGCUUGCUGGGAACUAUUAUUGCAUGGCUUGGUCCAGGGUGCAGGACAUCAGGAGGUUUUCCAGCAGCUCAGAGGUCCAGGUGACUGUCAAAGUCUAUGUUUCAAAACCAAGGAUCUCUUUCUGCAUCUCCAAAGAGGGAGCCAGUUACAUUGGCAACGUGACCUGCUGGUCAACAAGAGGGAGUCCUCCAGUCAACUUCUCUCUUUCAAUAGAUGACAAGGAAGUGGGAUCUGUCUCAGCAACUGAAUCCCUCGCUGUCUGGUUCCCUGUCGCAAUGGUACCCGGGCUGGACAUGGGUGUGGCUCGAUGUCGGGUGAAUACUGAGGUGCAGGACUUGAUGAGUGAGCCUGUGGCUCUAGAAGUGGUCCCUGUCGGAGGUGAUGUGAAAGUGGAGGUGGAGUAUCUCUACAGAGAUGACUCCAAACUGGCGGUUGCCAGGCUGAACUGUCAUGUCAGCAGAGGAACUUUCCCUUACAUCUCCUGGCUCUUGAACAACUCUAUCUUCCCCUCUGAGACGCAUGUAGACUCUCAUAUUCCGCCCGUCCUGUCUCACUGUGCUCUUGCUGACCAUGGACGAACCCUUGUUCUGGCCAAGCUCGGCCCAGAGGAGUCUGGUUAUUACAGCUGCAGGGUCAGGGACAGCUACGAUGACUCAGGGCCCUGGGUGGAGAGUGCUUCCGUGCUAGUCCAAGUCACAGAGGAUUACGUCCCUGACUACUUCUUGACCAGGAGCAAAAGUUUCAGCUGAUUGACCAGGAACCGCGCAGUGGCAACAAAACUCCUGGCCAGGGUUUUGAUCCAGGCUAGCUGUCCUUUAUGCUAAGCUAUGCUAACCAGCUUCAGCUCCAGCUACAUAUUUACCAUAAAUGUGUGAGUAGUAUCUCUUGGUGUAAUGUUUGGUUUAAAAAAGAAUAGGCAUAUUUAUUAAAAUGUUUAACUAUUCCUUUAACAAAUUUCUUUUGAAUCCAGACUCAUCUUAACAUGUCACACGUGCCCUUGCUAUUUGUGUGGGGUCUCUGCACCCUUUACCACAUCACAAUUAUUACUCUUGAUCAGACAACUCCACGCCUCAAGUAAAAUCUUCCUGCGAAACACCAUUAAGCACAUAUUUUACAUUUAAAUGCCUUAUAGUCUGUAAUACUUCACUGCCCUCAUCCCUUCUCUUCCACAGAGGUCUUCAUGACCACCAUAGAGGCCAUUAGUAUAGGGUUCUGCUGCUUCCUUCUCGUGACGUUGGCAGUGGGUGUAGGCUGUGUGUACAAGAUGUUGGACCACAAGCGAGUGUGUGUGCCUUCCAGUCCCAGUUCUGAUGCACAUCGU